rnacentral:lncRNA from 1 species
AAAUAAAUCAUCAAAUCUUCUCUUUCUAAAUUCGGUCAGCCAUGAAUCCUUCAUGAUAUCUUGUGAUUCAACCAUGAAAAAUGCAAAAUAAUGCAUGGGAAAGGUAGAUCACAAGUCAAAAUCAAGAAAUUUUAUCUUUGAUUGCUUGAUUACUUGAAUUUUCAUACUUUUCCCUUGAAUUUUUUCACCUAGGGUUUUUGUUCUUC